rnacentral:rRNA from 1 species
UGGGGAAUAUUGGACAAUGGGCGAAAGCCUGAUCCAGCCAUGCCGCGUGUGUGAAGAAGGUCUUCGGAUUGUAAAGCACUUUAAGUUGGGAGGAAGGGCAUUAACCUAAUACGUUAGUGUUUUGACGUUACCGACAGAAUAAGCACCGGCUAACUCUGUGCCAGCAGCCGCGGUAAUACAGAGGGUGCAAGCGUUAAUCGGAAUUACUGGGCGUAAAGCGCGCGUAGGUGGUUUGUUAAGUUGGAUGUGAAAGCCCCGGGCUCAACCUGGGAACUGCAUCCAAAACUGGCAAGCUAGAGUACGGUAGAGGGUGGUGGAAUUUCCUGUGUAGCGGUGAAAUGCGUAGAUAUAGGAAGGAAUACCGGUGGCGAAGGCGGCCCCCUGGACAAAGACUGACGCUCAGGUGCGAAAGCGUGGGGAGCAAACA